rnacentral:rRNA from 1 species
GAUGAACGCUGGCGGCGUGCCUAAUACAUGCAAGUCGAGCGAAGCGGGGACGGGUGAGUAACACGUGGAUAACCUCCUCUAAGACUGGGAUAACCUCGGGAAACCGGAGCUAAUCCGGCUAAUUAUCGCUGGUUCCGCUCUGCAUUAGCUAGUUGGUAAGGUAACGGCUUACCCAGGCAACGAUGCAUCGCCGACCUGAGAGGGUGAUCGGCCACACUGGAACUGAGACACGGUCCAGACUCCUACGGGAGGCAGCAGUAGGGAAUCUUCCGCAAUGGGCGAAAGCCUGACGCAGCAAUGCCGCGUGAGUGAUGAAGGUCUUCGGAUCGUAAAGCACUGUUAUUGGGGAAGCGGUACCUAAUCAGAAAGCCACGGCUAACUACGUGCCAGCAGCCGCGGUAAUUC